UCUCAACAAAAGAUAGUGCUUAGUUUUGAUAUAGCCUUCCAAUAAUGUUCUAAGCAUUUUGUGCAUACAGUACUUCAGUUACGGCCCUCUGCUCUUUAUUUAUUGACCUUUUUCACAUUGAGGUACAUUCAAUCUCAGUCAAAGCACCAUAUAGUCUCUGAUGGCAGUUUCAGGACAUCAGUCUCAGACUGGUUCCCCUACCUUCACUACAUCUAAGCUCCAUCCUAGCAAAUGCAUAACCUCACCACUAACUAACCUAAGCCCUCCCUGUCUUGUUCUGUUUCCUUGUGUUUUAUUUUCUUCUGUAUUCACAAACAGACCUGUAGAGCACGUGUACUGAAUGAGUCACAGUGUGCUUGUCUUUAAUUCUGUACAGGUGUGUCUCAUUGAUAAACCUGUUCUACAAGGCUGUUUAUGAAUUUCUAAGAUAUCAUUCUGUUUACUCUAGUUAUACCAUCAACCUUUUAUUUUUACCCAUUUGCCUUCUCCAAUUCUUCCAUCAUAGAAAGGACCAGAAUUUUAGGCCUUUAUCAGGGGUAUUGCUGUUUUGCUAUUUUAUGCAAAUGAAAGCAAGUCUGUAGGAGAUUGAUUUAGUCUUUACAAUAACAUCCAUACAUAUCCUACACCACGUUUUAAAAUGUUUUAUGUAAGUUUUGAUUCCCUUUUCCAACCAAUACACACAUAAACAUCCACAUAAACUCAACUGAAUAUAAAAAUCAAAAUAGAGCAAUCAACAUUAACAAAACGCCCUGAAGCUAUAGUGCUGGACAUCGAUUAUAAAUCAGGAACACCAAUGCAGAGGUUGGAUCAGCUCUCUUACAGCAUCAUGUGUGUGUUUGAUGCACAAUAAAAACACUCAUCUGUGUGUGUUUUCCCUCUCAGCGCUGCCAAAGCACUGAAUCUGGCCAAAUUCAAGGUGAAAAGCUGUGGAGUGAGUGAACUGGAGAAAGAGGGUAUGUGAAAUAUUACAGCUUUUACAUAUUCUGUAAUUCCUGAAGAAAAUAGCAGUCCUUGACAGAAUAAAGAAAAAUACAUUCUUAUGAUUUAGACUCAGAAUUAUUUUUUUCCCUCGCAAUUAAUGAUAUAUGAUAUAGGUGAUAUAUCUUACUCUGAGAAUUAAAAUGAAAAAUGUUUUAAGAAUUUUAAACGUUCAAAAUUAAUAUAUUAGUUAUUAUUUUCGUUUUCAUUAGUGUUGUAACACCGAGUUUGGGUUCAUGUUCAUGUCUUUUAUUUUGUAAUCUGUUUUUCUCUUGUUCUCUGCCUGGUGUGUGUGUCAUGUUCUCACUGGUCCUCUUGUUUACUGUGUUCUGAUUGGUUAUGCUAGUAAUCGUGUCAUCUUCUGUUUGAUAUCAGAUCUGCGACUUUUUAUUGGAUAUUGUUUAACUUUCUCACACAUUCUCAGAUGGUAUUGCUGGUAUGAAAGGGAAGCAGUGCACAACUGCAAAUGCUUUUAUCUCUUUGUGAUGGCUUUACAACUUAAAUAGCGCACCACUUUAGCUGCUUGUGAGCGGAAAUGAGCACGGAAGUGGGUGGAGACAAAGCCGACAUAUUGUAACCGCUUCAGUGUAUUUAGUCAUUACCAUUUGAUGAACAACGCAGGCUGACGUUUGAUUAUCUCCUCUCGUAGAAUUUUCUAGAAACCUAAUCUUUUUUACAGCAAGUCUACAGACGCAAAAGAUAUGCCAUUACUAAACAGGUCUAGAUCUGAACCAACCACCACCGAAAACUCGCCAGCUUGGAUUUUGUCAAACAUGCGGCAAUGGAUGAGUCCCGUGAGAGAGGUACUGAGGCCUGUUUCAUUGGUGUUCCGGAGCAUUGAGGCAGUCAACCAGAUUUAUACAGCCUCAGUGACGGAGCACAUUAUUGAUGGGAAGCUUCUCUAAGCCAUCAGUCAGAUGCGUCACAAAACCUCUUGAAGAGUAUUAAACUGGAAGGAUAGUAAGUAAUCUCCAUGAUAAAGAUGCUUUGCGAUAUUUGACUUACUCUUCUGUUCUGUGGGAUUUGUUUUCUAGCUGAUAUCUUGCGAGCAGCUGGAGCAUUUGUUUGAAAGAUCAUUGUUUCUUUCUCGGAUCCAGCGAAGGAUUUCUACAUGCUGCCAUUUGACUUCAACAUCUCCCAGUCAUUAAAAAGUACUAGAAACACUCAGUGCACAAACAAACUCAGACCAUCACGUAUCCCACCCAACCAAAACAGAUCAGUUCAGAUCAGAUCAACAUCCAAAAAAAUCUGACAAUACUGAUACAUUGCUCCAACAGCAUUUGUAACAAAUCACAGUUCACAACAUACAAGCACAAUAUGACUCAUUCAAUAUAUGUGUGUCCCUUUAUCAUAAGUUAUGCUAUGAAUUCCCCUAAGCUCCCAGGCUGUAUAAAACAUCCUCAGUCCAGCCCUGUUAUACUAACCAGUGUUUAGUUCUUGAAACCUUCCCAUAAGUACCUUUAGUAAGUUUGGCUACAUAUGUAUUUUUAAGAACAUGGAGACCUCUUGUGGCUGGAUGAAGUUACUGCAUCAAAACACUGCUCCUCCUGUAGUGUGCAGCUGUAAGUGAACACUGUAAGUAAAGAGAUCACUUGCUCAUCA